rnacentral:rRNA from 1 species
GUAAAUAAUUAAGGGCGUAUGGUGGAUGCCUAGGCUCUCAGAGGCGAAGAAGGACGUGAUAAGCUGCGAAAAGCUCCGUUUAGGUGCAAAUAACCUUUGAUGCGGAGAUCUCCGAAUGGGAUAACCCAAUAUGUUGAAGACAUAUUAUACCGUAAGGUAGGCAAACGCAGGGAACUGAAACAUCUAAGUACCUGCAGGAGAAGAAAACAAAAGUGAUUCCCCCAGUAGCGGCGAGCGACCGGGGAAAAGCCCAAACCGUUAUUGUUUCGGCAUUAACGGGGUAGUAGGACUGCGACAUUGAUGAAAUAAAUGAAAUGGAACACCUUGGAAAAUGUGAUCACAGAGGGUGAUAAUCCCGUACAUGCAAGUUUAUGAAUCAUAGCAGACUCCUGAGUAAGUCGGGACACGUGUAAUCCUGACCGAAUCCGCCGGGACCAUCCGGCAAGGCUAAAUACUCCUGAGAGACCGAUAGUGAACCAGUACCGUGAGGGAAAGGUGAAAAGCACUUCGAACAGAAGAGUGAAAUAGUCCCUGAACCCAUACGCCUACAAGCUGUCGGAGCCGCUUCGUGCGGUGACGGCGUGCCUUUUGCAUAAUGAGCCUACGAGUUACUCAUCACCAGCGAGGUUAAGUACUUCAGGUACGUAAGCCGAAGCGAAAGCGAGUCUGAAUAGGGCGUCAAGUUGGUGGUGGUAGACGCGAAACCUUAGUGAUCUACCCAUGGGCAGGGUGAAGGUUUGGUAACACAAACUGGAGGCCCGAACCGGUAAACGUUGAAAAGUUUUCGGAUGACCUGUGGGUAGGGGUGAAAGGCCAAUCAAACUGGGAAAUAGCUCGUACUCUCCGAAAUGCAUUUAGGUGCAGCCUCUGUUGUUUUGUUCUAGAGGUAGAGCUACUGAUUGGAUGCGAGGGCUUCACCGCCUAUCAAAUCCGGCCAAACUCCGAAUGCUAGAACAUGAAGACAGGGAGUGAGCCAGCGGGUGCUAAGGUCCGUUGACGAAAGAGGGAGAACUCAGACCAUCAGCUAAGGUCCCCAAUUAUAUGCUAAGUUGGAAUUAAAACGGGGUGGGACUGCUUAGACAGCUAGGAUGUUGGCUUGGAAGCAGCCAUUCAUUUAAAGAGUGCGUAACAGCUCACUAGUCGAGCGGUCCUGCAUGGAUAAUACGCGGGCAUAAGCAUAUAACCGAAGCUAUGGGAUUGUAGAUGAUACAAUCGGUAGGAGAGCAUUCCAUUCAGCGUAGAAGCAGUAUCGUGAGGUAUUGUGGAGCGGAUGGAAAAGCAAAUGUAGGCAUAAGUAACGAUAAUGCGGGUGAGAACCCCGCACGCCGAAAGAUCAAGGAUUCCCCGGCAAUGUCAAUCAUCCGGGGGUAAGUCGGAUCCUAAGGGUAAGCCGAGUGGCGAUCCCGAUGGCAAACAGGUUAAUAUUCCUGUACUGAUCAUAACUGCGAUGCAGCGACGCAGAGGUGACACUGCUGCGUACUGACGGAAUAGUACGUUGAAACCCGUAUUCUUUGAUACCGGUAGUGAAGCACGCCGGUAGAGAUGAAAGGUGAUAGUACCGCAAUGCUUCGGUUGCGCGGAUAACGCAGGUAAGCUGACUGCCAAGAAAACCUGCUAAGCUUCAGGUAAUGAUCAUCCGUACUGUAAACGGACACACGUGAUCAGGUAGAAAAUACUAAGGCGCUCGAGAGAUUCAUGGUUAAGGAACUAGGCAAAAUGGUCCUGUAACUUCGGGAUAAAGGACGCUCUUGUGAAAGAGCCGCAGAUAAUAGGCCCAGGCGACUGUUUACCAAAAACACAUGGCUAUGCUAAUUCGCAAGAAGAUGUAUAUGGCCUGACACCUGCCCGGUGCCGGAAGGUUAAGAGGAGAGCUCAGAGGCAACUCGAAGGUUUGAAUUGAAGCCCCGGUAAACGGCGGCCGUAACUAUAACGGUCCUAAGGUAGCGAAAUUCCUUGUCGGGU